rnacentral:rRNA from 1 species
ACGAUAACGGCGUCGAGCGGCGGACGGGUGAGUAAUGCCUAGGAAAUUGCCCUGAUGUGGGGGAUAACCAUUGGAAACGAUGGCUAAUACCGCAUAAUACCUACGGGUCAAAGAGGGGGACCUUCGGGCCUCUCGCGUCAGGAUAUGCCUAGGUGGGAUUAGCUAGUUGGUGAGGUAAUGGCUCACCAAGGCGACGAUCCCUAGCUGGUCUGAGAGGAUGAUCAGCCACACUGGAACUGAGACACGGUCCAGACUCCUACGGGAGGCAGCAGUGGGGAAUAUUGCACAAUGGGCGCAAGCCUGAUGCAGCCAUGCCGCGUGUGUGAAGAAGGCCUUCGGGUUGUAAAGCACUUUCAGUCGUGAGGAAGGUAGUGUAGUUAAUAGCUGCAUUAUUUGACGUUAGCGACAGAAGAAGCACCGGCUAACUCCGUGCCAGCAGCCGCGGUAAUACGGAGGGUGCGAGCGUUAAUCGGAAUUACUGGGCGUAAAGCGCAUGCAGGUGGUUUGUUAAGUCAGAUGUGAAAGCCCGGGGCUCAACCUCGGAAUAGCAUUUGAAACUGGCAGACUAGAGUACUGUAGAGGGGGGUAGAAUUUCAGGUGUAGCGGUGAAAUGCGUAGAGAUCUGAAGGAAUACCGGUGGCGAAGGCGGCCCCCUGGACAGAUACUGACACUCAGAUGCGAAAGCGUGGGGGAGCAAACAGGAUUAGAUACCCUGGUAGUCCAC